rnacentral:pre_miRNA from 1 species
AAUGAGAUAACUGGGUCAAAUGGUCAAGUGGUUCCAUUCCUAGUUUUUUGAGGAAUCUCCAUACUGUUUUACAGAAUGGUUGCACCAAUUUGAAGUCCUACCAGCAAU